CAUCUAAGCACGAAACUUGCCCCGAGAUGAGUUCUCCCUGACCCUUUAAGGGUCCUGAAGGAACGUUGAAGACGACGACGUUGAUAGGCCGGGUGUGUAAGCGCAGCGAUGCGUUGAGCUAACCGGUACUAAUGAACCGUGAGGCUUAACCUUACAACGCCGAAG
rnacentral:rRNA from 1 species